ACGAACGCUGGCGGCGUGCCUAAUCCCUGCAAGUAGCACGCUGAAGGAGGAGCUUGCUUCUCUGGAUGAGUUGCGAACGGGUGAGUAACGCGUAGGUAACCUGCCUGGUAGCGGGGGAUAACUAUUGGAAACGAUAGCUAAUACCGCAUAAUAGUAGAUGUUGCAUGACAUUUGCUUAAAAGGUGCAAUUGCAUCACUACCAGAUGGACCUGCGUUGUAUUAGCUAGUUGGUGGGGUAACGGCUCACCAAGGCGACGAUACAUAGCCGACCUGAGAGGGUGAUCGGCCACACUGGGACUGAGACACGGCCCAGACUCCUACGGGAGGCAGCAGUAGGGAAUCUUCGGCAAUGGACGGAAGUCUGACCGAGCAACGCCGCGUGAGUGAAGAAGGUUUUCGGAUCGUAAAGCUCUGUUGUAAGAGAAGAACGAGUGUGAGAGUGGAAAGUUCACACUGUGACGGUAUCUUACCAGAAAGGGACGGCUAACUACGUG
rnacentral:rRNA from 1 species